GAUGAACGCUGGCGGCGUGCUUAACACAUGCAAGUCGAACGGAAAGGCCCAAGCUUGCUUGGGUACUCGAGUGGCGAACGGGUGAGUAACACGUGGGUGAUCUGCCCUGCACUUCGGGAUAAGCCUGGGAAACUGGGACUAAUACCGGCUAGGACCACAAGUAGGAGGGGGUGGUGGAAAGUUUUGUCGUGUGGGCUGAGCUCGGGGGCUAUCGGCUUGUUGGGGGGGUAAUGGCCAACCAAGGGGGAGACGGGAAAGCGGCCGUGGGGGGUGUACGGCGCCAAUGGGCCUGAGGGACGGAGCAGACGCCUACGGGGGGCAGCAGGGGGGAAUAUUGCACGAUGGGCGCAAGCCUGAUGCAGAGGCGCCCGGUGGGGGAUGACGGCCUUCGGGUUGGAAACUCCUUUCGGUAGGGACCAAGCGCAAGUGACGGUACCUGGAGAAGAAGCACCGGCUAACUACGUG
rnacentral:rRNA from 1 species